rnacentral:rRNA from 1 species
UCCCAGACUCCUACGGGAGGCAGCAGUGGGGGAUAUUGCACAAUGGGGGAAACCCUGAUGCAGCGACGCCGCGUGAGGGAAGACGGUUUUCGGAUUGUAAACCUCUGUCUUUGGGGACGAAUUGAGACGGUACCCAAGGAGGAAGCUCCGGCUAACUACGUGCCAGCAGCCGCGGUAAUACGUAGGGGGCAAGCGUUAUCCGGAUUUACUGGGUGUAAAGGGAGCGUAGACGGCAUGGCAAGCCAGAUGUGAAAUACCGGGGCUCAACCCCGGGACUGCAUUUGGAACUGUUAAGCUGGAGUGUCGGAGAGGCAGGCGGAAUUCCUAGUGUAGCGGUGAAAUGCGUAGAUAUUAGGAGGAACACCAGUGGCGAAGGCGGCCUGCUGGACGAUAACUGACGUUGAGGCUCGAAAGCGUGGGGAGCAAACAGGAUUAGAUCCCCGCGUA